GGAAUUUUCUGCUUCUUGACUCAAAAUGAAUUUUUAUUCACUGAUUUGAGCCAAUAGUAUGGAAAAAUAAUUUUAAAUUAUCAAAAUAACUGAAUUGAAAUAAUUUUCGAUUACAAAAACUACUGAGUAUUAUAAACACCCAAACCAUGCUGGUUUGGUUGAUUGGUUCGCAAGCAUUCUUGAGAUGUAUUGUUGUUUCAGGGAGGGGUUUAUUUAUUACUUUUAUAGGUUUUCUAGUUGCCAUCCAGGUGAGGAAAAGGCUUUCUUACAAAGCUGAAUGUGAUUCUGGAGUAUAUAGAAACAGAUGAGGCAUCUGGACUUUUACAUUCAUGAGGCAAAUCAUCACUUUGGGGUUUUUAAUGUAGUCAGGGUAUGUUUCAGGGAGUGUUUCUUUGGUUAACAUUACCAAAAGAUACUGUUAGAGGCACUAUAGGAACCAGGAUUGCUUAAGAAAAGAAGGCUGGUGUCAUACUUACCUUAUAGUAGCUUUGGUGUAUAAUGAUAAUUAUGGGAUGAAAAUCUGUUCUACUGCAGGUAUUCUAUUAUUUCUAGAGAGGUCAAGUAUACGCAGAUUUCCCUUAAUUUCAAGCGGGAUACAGGCAUCUAGAUUUUCUUAACAUCUAUUACUUCAUUUCUUUGUUUUAGCACAGAAAAACUCACACAAUUCCCAGAAAAGCCAAAGACUCAAAUAACAAGUAUCCCAAAGCAGUUGAUUUUUAGGAUCCUGCAUCAUUAUGAAACAACAUGAGCUGAUAUAGGGCACCUCUGCUCCAGCUUUUGCUGGCAAAUAAUUUCUUUGCACAGGUUCUUCAUAGUUAAAUAGUGUAGUAGCUUUUGGCUGAAUAAGCAAGCCUGAAGAGCUGGCUGUCUCCUUGACUGCAGAGAGCAACAGCCUUUUCCUAUACAGCAGUCGCAUUGUGCUUUUGAAGAUCCCUGAGUCUAUUUUGAUACCAAAUAUGUGUUAUUGUUUUGGGAGGCAAAGGCACUGGGUUGAUGUCUGUUGUCUGCAGUGAUAGAGAAGCCUGGGGUUUCAGGAUUCUUGAUCUUGGUGCUAUUUAUAUUCUAGUAAACAAAUAUUUUAUUGUUGAUGUGUGGGUGUUCAGCUGUCACAGUAGUGUCUGAGAAUAUUAGCCAGUUUUUAGGUGCUGUACGUCUGUUGUCUGCCAUUCCUGUUCUAUGUAUAAUCACCUCACCGUUCUCCUCUUGCUGCUUCUCAAUUUUACUACAUAAACACAUCUUCUAUCAUAUUGUUUAUCCAUGCAUGGAGCAAGAAAAUAAUCUGACUGCACCAUUCUGGACCUCUUGACAUUUAGAGAGAGUUGGGAUUUAGACAUACCAUAGAAGGAAUUGCACUACUCAAGAUGCGAAGUGAUUAAGACGUGAACAAGGAUUUCAGCAGAAGCAAGGUCAAGGAAUUCAAGAACUCUUCUGGUGUCAAAGAAGUCACCGCAGCUCUUACUCCCUAUGUCUGAUACCAGGGAGGAACAACGCUUCCAUGGAAAUAAUGUUCAGUUUCCAGCUUCAAACCGUGACAUGUGGAGGAAAUAAACUUCCCUACGUGUUUCUGGUGGGAUUUUCUGUCAGCAUGUUUUAUUUGUGAAAUAGCAUGUGACACUGAUGGAUCUUCCCCUUUCCUUUCUUUUUGCUGAAGGAAAACACCUGCAGCAUAGAACAGCCGUGGCAAAGUCAAGUAAGAGCCUGUGUGCUGCGAUGUGCUGCAGUAGUGAAUAUAUUCUAGUGUACACUGAGCAGCAUAAAUAUGUAAAUAUUUUACAACGUUUGCUUACAUAUCCUACCUCUUUUUUUUCUUGCAGAGCAUACACUUAAAAUACACACAUCAAGUUACAUAUGCCUGGUAUAGUGGCAGCAGAACCUGCUCUGUUAAUAAUAAUACUGAAUAUGUAAAUCCUCCCACUCUUUAUAACCAGUGCUGUGGGUUGCAUUUACUGUAAACAAAGAUGUAUUUUGGGGGGCAGUUGGUUUGAGUUUAUUGUUUAUGUAAAUCUCUCAGAAUGUGACAUAGCCUGAUAGCUUCCUAUGUUGUGCUGAUCCACAUUUUAGGCCAGCAGCCAAAGUAUUUUAUCUUUUACUUCAUUAUAGUGAUCUUCCAAUUAGCUGUGGUCUGUAAUACCCUGAUUUUGGUGGCAGUGGUUUGGGGAGGAUUGUUUGAUAGUUCUGCUCGAGAGGCAAAAUGAGGGGCCUUAUUAUAGAAAGUGCAGAGGUUGUGCAGUAGCUGAGUUCUGUUGCAAAGUUUGCCGAUAAGGGAAAACUGGCCCUUGAGCAUCCAUUCUAUUCUGUAUAUUAACACUUCUAAUCUGCACUGCUGAUAAAACUGCAAGCCAUUUGCCUUUGGAGGAAUUAGUUCUGCCUCACUUGUGUAACCAGGCGAUGGUGAUUAACCUUUAAACUGUCCAAUAUUCUCAGCAGACUCCUGCUCCAGAUUAGAAACUAUUUAGUUAUGACCAACUAAAUUAACAACAUUCCCUCCUCUGAAGAAUAAGAUUUGGAAGGUAUGCUUUUUAAGGUGGAAUGUGGAUAGUGUCCUUACUUAUUCACCACUGUUGCUACAUAAAAUGCAUUUGUUGUUUAAGAGGGGAAAAAAAAAGGAGAGAGGGAGAUUGAUUUCAGAUUGAAACAAUCUACACUUAGUUAUGUACAAGGGGCAAUAUGGUUGAAUUUGGCUUGGGGGGCUGGUUUAGAUGGCUGAGACCUUCUUUCUCACUUCCCAUUCUUAAAUAGAACUUAUGAUGCAGAGGAUAAAAUGGGCAGGAUGGUGCUCUGGUAUGGGCAGCAGUUUAGGAAAAAGAUUUCCUUCCUUGGAAAUGAAAGGCAAUUAUCUCAGUUCUUCAGAGGAGUAAUUUUUGGAAGUUUACUAACCUUUCUGUCACAAUCAGGCAAAACAAAAGGUUUUGUACGCGGUGGCUGCAGACCGACCCAUCCAAUGGACUUUAGCUGGCUGUGAUAACCUAGUACUGUACCAUUGUACCUAUGUAUUUUAAAUGUGUAAUUUAUCAAUUGAAGCAUACCCUUCAAUACAUGUGCCAUAAAAGAAAAGAGUGAGGGCAAUUAUGUAAUAGUAUAGUGUUUGUCUGCCGUGCCUUAAAUCCCCAUAUUGUUAUUCCUCACUGAAUAACAAAUACAGAAUCCCUGUUAGCAAUGUUUUCCGUUUUACCAGUUUUAUAUUAGCUGCCUCCUUAAAAAUUGCUAAUCUAGAUACUACAUUAGUAGAAUGUCAGUCAAACUGCAAUCCACAGUGAAACCUUCUUCAUAUACCAAUUUAAAUCAUUCAUGGUCCUUUCUUUGGCAUUAUUCAAAAGAUCAUAAUAAUUUUCUUGUGCCCACAGCACAAAAAAAUCAAUUAUUUCCCCACAAAGACUUGAAAGUACUUAGCGAGUGCUGUAAGAAAAGCUGAGGGUUAUAUCAAAUUGAAAUUGCACUCAUUACACACAACACAAUUAGUUGCCACUAGUCUGGCCGGUGCUUUAAUUCUGAAUGGCAUAUCUUUAUUAUUACAGAAACAAGCAUGCAAAUGGCAUUGUUCAGGAUUUGCAGAAAUCAAUAGGAUAUAGUGCUGUGUGUUUGGUGGCCACUGUCACUCAGUCUGCUGUGGAUUUGAGAUAAUGUGUGUAUUUGAAUUAAUGAAGGGAACGUGAGACAUCAUAAGUGACACCCAAAUAAAAGAAAUGGGUACAUGAUAUUUGUAAUUAUUCUACUUGUGUUUUUGUUGUAAAUACUUGUGCUUUUUGUUUUUUAAUCAAAGGAUUAAUUGCAUUUUAAUAAGGCAUUAUGAUUUUCAGAGCUUUAGUUAAUUAAAACUUGUAGUAUAUAAUUAUGAAGUGAUGCUGAGAUUUGUCUAAAGAUCACCCAUACAUUUAGAAUAUGUAUAUUUUUCCUUGUUAAGCAGUUGCUACAUUCUGGGGGGGGGGAGGAUGAAUGUUUUUAAAUGUUUGAAAGAUGAUGGCAGUUCCAAAUGGAUUUCUAUAAGUGGCAGCUAGGAUUGUAGAUUAUGUAGUUGGAAAAAUUAAAGUGGAGGAACUACUGGGGUUGGAAACACUUUUUGGCUGUAGUGCUGGAACAUUCAUUUGCACAAAUGUUAGCUUUCAGACGCAGGAGGAAGAACAGAUGUAUUUGUUCAAUGUAUCAUAUCAUUCCGCCCAUUAGGUCCCAGUGAAAUUGCUGCAGUUUGAAAUUCUCA